rnacentral:lncRNA from 1 species
GGCGAGAUCGCACCACUGCACUCUAGCCUUGGGCAACAGAGCAAGACUCCGUCUCAAAAAAAAAAAAAAAAAAAAAAAAAGAGAUUUACCAGUGACCAAAAACUGUGAAGUAAUAAAACGUUUCCUGACUCCAAUGCUGGGCAGACUGUGUUGAAACUCAGUUUACGCAAACUUUUCUAGGGAUGAUUGUCAUCAUCCUUAGGAAAGUGCAUUGUUGUAGGAUCAAUCACAUCCUUAAAAAGGACUGUGCCUGUUUAUAAGCCCAGUUGUUCUUCCCUGUGAAAUAUGGUAAGGAUAUUAGUACAAGGAGAAUAGAGAUUUAUGAUAAGUGAUGCUCAAUGAAGGAUAAAUUAAGGACAUACUGAGAGUAGGUAAGGAAAUUGCCAACUCAGAACCCAGCAGGCAUUAAAUAAUAGAUAAGGAAUCAAUAUAGCAACAGUUUUUUAUAGUACUGUAUUUUUAUAACCAUGUGGAAUGCGUUUUCUAUCUAUGGAUAGAUUGUGUAAGGGUACAGUUGUGAGGAUAACAGGAACAUGGCAGUUUAUUUAAAAUCAUACUUAAAAUGGCACUUUACCUGAUAAAAGUGAUUCUAAACCAUAGGAAAAUGAUGGAAGACACAGAAGAGCAGCAGAAUUGGGUAGAAGACUACUACAGAUGCCAGAUCGCCACUUCUGAAAGAAAGGCUUACGACAACUGGCUCUGUGUUUAAGCCUCGCAGAGGGAGAUGCAAGAGAAGAAGGCUGCCUACAAGCAGCACAGGUCAAUAUGGCUUUGGGAGGGCCCCUUUUUCAGGAUUGCCCUACUUGCUCUACUGCAUGGCUGGCUCUUCAGGACCAUUUGUGGGCUGCCAGACACCUCCUCUGCCUGGGUGGCCUCUGGGAACACGACCACUGCCUCCAUGCACACCACUUGGACAAGCUGAAAUUUGAAGAGGCCCCUGAGCUGUGACAGCCAUGCUGUGGCUCCUACAUAACUUGGAAAAGUAUCCAAUACAUUUUACGCUGCCUGCCCAGUGCUGCCUCAUCUGUCUCUAAUCUUCUGUAGUGUUUCCCCUAAUAAAGGUUUGCAGUCCUA